CCAGGUAGUCCAUACAGAGGGCGAGAUAAAGACUUCUCUUGGCUCAUCCCCUCUGUGAAGUGGGGCGACUCCGGAGUGUUUCAAUGUGAGAUGAGAUGUAACGGAUACCCAAAUAAACUGACAUCAUAUGAGCUUGUAGUUGUCAAGGCCACAGUGGAGCCCCAGCGUGUGUAUGAAGGCGGGCGUGUGAGGCUGUGCUGCUCCGUGUCUCAUCAGAAGAGACCUGGUCAGGUGUGGUGGAUUCAACUGGAUUCCAACAACCAAAACUUCAGUCGUCGUUACCGUGGUACCAGACACAGAUACCCUGAUGGAGAGUUCUGUCAUACCGUGAAAAACAUCCUUCCAGAGCAGAGCCUGUGGGCCUGUGCAGUCUUCCAUGGAGACAGCCUACGAGCCCUGCUGCCUCUCCGUGUGAAUGUGUCCAAACACACCACUACACACACGCCACCUACACUCACGCCACCUAGACACACGCCACCUACACUCACCAAGGCGGUGGGGACAGCCACGACACACAACGAGAGCACCACGGACACCAGAAAUGCCACGGCAACACAGAAGACAGAAUCAUCAGGAGUGCAUGGCCCUCUCAUAAGUGUGUUUGGCCUCGUCGGGCUGGCUCUGGUGAUCCUGACCUCUGUGUUUCUGUGGAGAAGGACAAACAAAGGUGAAGAGGUGUGUGAAGAUGAGGGUGAGUGUGAGGAAGAUGAGGAAGAUGAGUGUGCAGGGGGGCUUCCGUCCCGCAGAGAGAGUGUGACGUACUCAGUGGUGCAUUUAAAGAGGAAACCCACUGAGAAUCUGAACAAAGCUGUAGCAUCUACAGAUCCUCUGACUGCUGUAGGUGACACUGAUGAUGAAUAUCAAACAGUCAUAUACGCCGGAUUGAAAAUGAAUCAAUGAACAAUCAAUCAAUAAUAUUAAAGGGGGACUCAUCUGCUCUAUUGUGGACAGUUUGUCACAUAAGUGCCAGGGGUUUCACAACCUCAUAGUUUUACAUGUCAGACAUCCUCAGGAGUAUGGUUAGUUUGGCUAUAGGUUAUACAUAGUAAACAAUAAUUUGCACUUUUUUUUAAACUGUUUAUGCUGUUUAUACUGGCCUUUUUUAAUGGACUCCAUAUAAAUGUGACGUGAAAUUAUGCUAAUCUUGGUUGGUUGAGAAAAUAACUGCAAUGAGAGGCGGAUAGAGGAAAUUAUUAUUUUUUAGUAAUUUAGGUGGCUUCAAAAAGAACUAGUCAGUUUGACCUGUAAAUUCAACACAUUGUUUAACCCUACACACAACAACCUACUGCCUGAACAUACCGACAAUUCCGAUGCAACCUUCAUAGUAUGAAGUUCAUAGCCAUGUUUCAAAAACGUAACUGAAUCUAACCGCAUACGUAUAACAACGGGGAGCCUUCUUCCGGUAACUUACUGAGGUAGGCUACUCGCCAUUUGUGAAAAAAUAUGGGGGGGUUGAAACGUUUUUAUUCAUGAAAAGAAAUCACAAACAACAGAAGGCAUGUAGAGUAGACUAUAAAGCUAGUCGGCUGUUGCAGCGUCUUGAGACAAUUUAAUUGUUUUGGCGCUAUAUACAUUGAAUGUAAUUUUGUGUUUAUGUGUUUACUACGAGAUGGUAUUCUGCAUUAGAGUUGGUUGAACUUAAUCUUUUUUAGUUUGUGUAUUUUUGUGUUGUUAUAUGUUGUCCCUCGUGGCCCCAAAUGUCGUUGUAUGAAAAGUUAUACACUGACAAUAAAUGCUUUCCAUUGUAACUGACUGAUCAGAAGAAUGCUUUAUUUUCGCCCUAACCAGUUUAACCAAGUUUCUCGCUAAACAGCAACUUGAAUAAAUCAAGUUUAAAGAUUUGGUUACAGCAGAUGUCAGACAUUCCAACCAUUAACUUUAAACACGUGGUGCAGUUACACAUAUUUUACUUCGUUUGAGUCAUCCUGGGAGUUCCACUCAGCCUGGUAGUCGUCCUCCAUCCUAACAACACUGGCUCCUGU
ensembl:lncRNA